rnacentral:misc_RNA from 1 species
UUUCCGUAGGUGAACCUGCGGAAGGAUCAUUCAUAAUAAAGUGUUUUAUGGCACUUUUUAAAAAUCCACAUCCACCUUGUGUGCAAUGUUAGAUCUCGUCAAUCUUGGCGAGAUUUUUAUACAUCAACUCAUUUUUUAACUAAUUUGUCUGAAAAAUAUUAUGAAUACUUAAUUCAAAAUACAACUUUCAACAACGGAUCUCUUGGCUCUC